rnacentral:tRNA from 1 species
AAGGCUUUAGCUUAAUUAAAGUGCCUGCUUUGCAUGCAGCUGAUGUGGGAUAGCAGCCCGCAAGUCUUA